rfam:Populus trichocarpa scaffold_19_contig_390, whole genome shotgun sequence.
UCUAGAACCUGAGAUAUGGAUAGAAUACGGAAUAGUGUCUGGGCUGCAGGACAGAUUCAGACUUCUCUUUUGAUGUUAAGAUUUGGACUCCAAAACGGCCAAAUUGAGUCUUGGACUCUUAAUGAAUGUUUUCAGCCUAUAUCUUAGCUUUCUAUC